rnacentral:rRNA from 1 species
GACGAACGCUGGCGGCGUGCCUAAUGCAUGCAAGUCGCACGCACAUCCCUUCGGGGGUGUGAGUGGCGCACGGCUGAGGAACACGUGUGUACCUGCCGUUCUGUGGGGGACAACCCCGCGAAAGCGGAGCUAAUCCCGCAUACGCUCCCCCCUGUGGGGAGGAAAGUCGUAAGGCGCAGAACGAGGGGCGCGCGGCCCAUCAGGUUGUUGGUGUGGUAAUGGCGCACCAAGCCACUGACGGGUAGCUGGUCUGUGAGGACAGACAGCCAGACUGGGACUGAGAACGGCCCAGACUCCUACGGGAGGCAGCAGCAAGGAAUUUUCCGCAAUGGGCGCAAGCCUGACGGAGCAACGCCGCGUGGAGGAUGACGGCUUUCGGGUUGUAAACUCCUUUUCGGGGUGACGAUAAGGACGGUAGCCCCGGAAAAAGGCUCGGCUAACUCUGUGCCAGCAGCCGCGGUAAGACAGAGGAGCCAAGCGUUGUCCGGAUUAACUGGGCGUAAAGCGCACGCAGGCGGUUGCGGGCGUCGGUGCUGAAAGCGCGCCGCUUAACGGCGCAGGGCGUGCCGAUACGCCGCAACUGGAGCGAUGCAGAGGUCCGUGGAAUUGCCGGUGUAGUGGUGAAAUGCGUAGAGAUCGGCAGGAACACCCAAGGGGAAACCAGCGGACUGGGCAUACGCUGACGCUCAGGUGCGAAAGCGUGGGGGAGCUAACCGGAUUAGAUACCCGGGUCGUCCACGCUGUAAACGAUGUACGCUCGGCAUCUGUCCGUUAUCCAUGCGGAUGGGUGCCCCAAGGUAACCCGCAAGCGUACCGCCUGGGAACUACGAGCGCAAGCUUAAAACUCAAAGGAAUUGA